AUACGGAGGGCGCAAGCGUUGUUCGGAAUCAUUGGGCGUAAAGCGCGUGUAGGCGGCUUGGUAAGUCGGGUGUGAAAGCCCGGGGCUCAACCCCGGAAAUGCAUUCGAAACUGCCUGGCUAGAGUUCCGGAGAGGAAGGCAGAAUUCCCGGUGUAGAGGUGAAAUUCGUAGAUAUCGGGAGGAAUACCAGUGGCGAAGGCGGCCUUCUGGACGGCAACUGACGCUGAGACGCGAAAGCGUGGGGAGCAAACAGGAUUAGAAACCCCAGUAGUCC
rnacentral:rRNA from 1 species